AAUUUGCAUCUGGGGGAGAGCCAGUUCGGUCCCUCUGUAGCCUAAAUGGAGCAAGGUGACUGGGAAGGGGGCAGGCUUCCAGCAUCUGCUCCACCAGGACAGCCCCUUCUUUCAGCCUGGCACACGCGCCGCUGAGCACAAGGGGUCGAGCCCGGAGAACACCGGGACACCCAGCCCGACCCUAACUGUCCAGCCCGCCUGCAGCAGCCCCUGGAACACAUUGUAUUUUGGAGAGCUAAUUCUGUCAGUUACUAGGAAUCAUCAUCUGCCUUGCCAUGUCUUGCUGAAUCUGCUUUCUACAUUGGGAUAGUAGUGACUCUUACAGAUCCAGGGACAUCACGCUGUGACAACGGAAGCGGAAAUCACAGUGCUGUCCCCACCAGCCAAGGAACACCAAGGAUGGCCAGCAAAUACCAGAAGCUGGAAA